rnacentral:rRNA from 1 species
AGAGUUUGAUCAUGGCUCAGGAUAAACGCUGGCGGCGCACAUAAGACAUGCAAGUCGAACGGACAGAGUCCGAAUGUUUCAUUUGGAGGAUGUUAGUGGCGGACUGGUGAGUAACGCGUAAGGAACCUGCCUAUUAGAGGGGAAUAACAGUGAGAAAUCAUUGCUAAUACCGCAUAUACCAUAAUAGUUGCAUGACUGAAAUGGGAAAGGAGAAAUCCGCUAAUAGAUGGCCUUGCGUCUGAUUAGGUAGUUGGUGGGGUAAAGG